rnacentral:rRNA from 1 species
CAGCAGCCGCGGUAAUACGAAGGGUGCAAGCGUUAAUCGGAAUUACUGGGCGUAAAGCGUGCGUAGGCGGUGAGUUAAGUCUGCUGUGAAAUCCCCGGGCUCAACCUGGGAAUGGCAGUGGAUACUGGCAAGCUAGAGUGUGUCAGAGGAUGGUGGAAUUCCCGGUGUAGCGGUGAAAUGCGUAGAGAUCGGGAGGAACAUCAGUGGCGAAGGCGGCCAUCUGGGACAACACUGACGCUGAGGCACGAAAGCGUGGGGAGCAAACAGGAUUAGAUACCCCGGUAGUCCCUGUCUCUUAUAC